rnacentral:rRNA from 1 species
UACGUAGGGUGCAAGCGUUAAUCGGAAUUACUGGGCGUAAAGCGUGCGCAGGCGGUUCGGAAAGAAAGAUGUGAAAUCCCAGGGCUUAACCUUGGAACUGCAUUUCUAACUGCCGGGCUAGAGUAUGUCAGAGGGGGGUAGAAUUCCACGUGUAGCAGUGAAAUGCGUAGAGAUGUGGAGGAAUACCGAUGGCGAAGGCAGCCCCCUGGGAUAAUACUGACGCUCAUGCACGAAAGCGUGGGGAGCAAACAGG